rnacentral:tRNA from 1 species
GGAGGAUUGGCCGAGUGGUAAGGCACCGGUUUGCACUGUGCUUGAUCAAUGCAGCCGUGGUCGGGCCGACAAGCCCGCGCACGUUCGAUCCGUGCAUCCUCCG